AUAGUACUCCCUCCGUCCAACAAAAGAAGUCUCAAAUUUGUUAAAAUUUGGAUGUAUUUAGACAUGAAUUAGUGUAUAGAUGCAUUCAAAUUUGGUCAAAGUUGAUACAUCCUUUGUUGGACGGAGGGAGUACCUA
rfam:Brachypodium distachyon strain Bd21 chromosome 4, whole genome shotgun sequence.